GUCUAAUAUGGCAGAUAAGUGCAAUGGACUUAAGCCCCAUAUAUAAAGAUAUUUAUUCUUUUAUUAGA
rnacentral:tRNA from 1 species